rnacentral:rRNA from 1 species
UACGUAGGUGGCAAGCGUUAUCCGGAUUUACUGGGUGUAAAGGGCGUGUAGGCGGGUCUGCAAGUCAGAUGUGAAAUCUCCGGGCUUAACUCUGGAGUGUCAUCUGAAACUACGGAUCUUGAGUACUGGAGAGGAGAGUGGAAUUCCUAGUGUAGCGGUAAAAUGCGUAGAUAUUAGGAGGAACACCAGUGGCGAAGGCGGCUAUCUGGACAGUAACUGACGCUGAGGCGCGAAAGCGUGGGGAGCAAACAGG